AUUGAACGCUGGCGGCAUGCCUUACACAUGCAAGUCGAACGGUAACAGGUCUUCGGAUGCUGACGAGUGGCGAACGGGUGAGUAAUACAUCGGAACGUGCCCGAGAGUGGGGGGAUAACGAAGCGAAAGCUUUGAUAAUAACGCAUAAGAUCUACGGAUGAAAGCAGGGGACCGCAAGGCCUCGGGUGAACGGAGCGGCCGAUGGCAGAUUAGGUAGUUGGUGGGAUAAAAGCUUACCAAGCCGACGAUCUGUAGCUGGGCUGAGAGGACGACCAGCCACACUGGGACUGAGACACGGCCCAGACUCCUACGGGAGGCAGAAGUGGGGAAUUUUGGACAAUGGGCGAAAGCCUGAUCCAGCCAUGCCGCGUGCAGGAUGAAGGCCUUCGGGUUGUAAACUGCUUUUGUACGGAACGAAAAGACUCUUUCUAAUAAAGAGGGUCCAUGACGGUACCGUAAGAAUAAGCACCGGCUAACUACGUGCCAGCAGCCGCCGUAAAAC
rnacentral:rRNA from 1 species